AGUUGCCAUCAUUCAGUUUGGGGCACUCUAGCGAGACUGCCGGUAAUAAACCGGAGGAAGUGGGGAUGACGUCAAAUCAUCAUGCCCCUUAUGACCUGGGCUACACACGUGCUACAAUGGUUGGUACAACGAGUUGCGAGUCGGUGACGGCGAGCUAAUCUCUUAAAGCCAAUCUCAGUUCGGAUUGUAGGCUGCAACUCGCCUACAUGAAGUCGGAAUCGCUAGUAAUCGCGGAUCAGCACGCCGCGGUGAAUACGUUCCCGGGCCUU
rnacentral:rRNA from 1 species